ACGUGUCUCCCCCCCCACUACACGCUCUCCAUCCCGUGACCAGAAAGGCGCACACAAAAAAAAAACACCUCUCCAAAAAGUGCGGUCCCUUUUAUUCGGCACUGAAUGGAAUAAAGUACUUUUUGCUUUUCUUCACAGAGAGAAAUAAAAAGUUUCGGGGAUUCAACUGAGUUUGGAGAAAUGGAGGAAAAGGAAGAUAUUUUCCUUUAGUUUUUUCAAACAAACUCUCGAGGUGAAGACCAGCGGGUGGAAGGAUUGUGAAGAAGGGAGUUGAAGGACGAGGUACAGCGACGCAGGGUCAGUAAUGCACGACGGUGUUCCCUCAGUGUCCAGGUGUGGUUGUGUGUACCUGUGGUUGUGUGCGCUGGCGGUGCCUUGGAGAUCCGGACCUCGCCUCUGCCCUCGGGAACACUGCAGUCGUUACGCACGAGUCGGAGCAUUCCAAAACGCCGCUCCACGGACGCACGGACGCACGGCAGGGCGCGGAUGUUGGCACUCCUGCUGGACUGGGUAAGUCUAAACUCUAUUCUGUCCGUUUUUAGUAUUUGGGGUUGUUCAUAAUAAGCAGCCGAGAUUAAGUCGACUCGGAGUAAAGUCACAAAGAUCACAGGAGCGUCGUAAAAGCGCACAAUGAAUUACAUAUUUGUUUUUUAAUAUUAUAUUUUGGUGAUAUGCGACCCACACUUACUCAAAUCAAUGUAUCACGGGAGUUAUACAUAUUAAUAUAUUUUAUUUUACAUUAUUCUUUUAAAUAUAACAAGCAAAUUCGAUUUUUUAAAGUUAUUUUAUAAGUUGCAAGAUUUUAAAUUGCUUGCAAAAUAAACGCAGGAUUCUCUUUUUUAUAAGAACUAUCAAAGCCCAAAAUCAGUUUCAUCCACUCUCACUGUAGACAGUGAGUGUGACAAUACCUGAUGUGUUAACCUGAUAAAGUACACAUUUUUACUAUUAUAAUGCAUCUAAAAUCCCUUUAAUUCAAAUGAGAAGAAAUGCAAAAUAAAUUAAUUUCUCCUUCUGAGUCAAAAUAAAUUCUGGCAUGAAACUAAAUUGUAAAUGAGAUAUAGUAAAAACAAUGUCUCCAUAAGGCAGGCUGAGAGGAGAAAUCCACAAUAAUCCUUCAGGUUUAAAAGUUGUUUUGAUUUUUCUCUUCACAGAAACCUGCUUCUCAUCAGCCUGUUUUGGGAUUUUCUUCCUCUCAGCCUAAGGCCGUGCCUUUGGCUGUUGGCUACAACCCUCCAGCCUUUUUCCCGCCUCAAUCUGAGACCGACUUCUUUAUUAUAUAGUAUUAAGGCAUUGACGAUAUCUUGGUGGCCUUCUCCCAAGAAAAAUAAGAACCCAUUUGCAUGGAGUGAGAGAAAGAUAGAAAAAAGGAGGUCAGGGUUGGACUCUCCUCAAAUAACCUGAAAAGUUACAACAUGCACCAAAAAACAACACAACGCACUGACAAGAGAAGCUGAAAGAGAUUGAGUGGAUGCUCUCUCUCUCUCUCUGUCUGUCUGUCUCUCUGUGUCUCCCUCUCUCUCUCUCACUGUGUCCCCAGUGUCCUCCCCCAGUCCUCCCCCAAUCCUCCCCUCUCUCCUAUAGCUCGUUGGGUGUGCUGCAGAGCUGGCGGGGUUGAAAGGGCAAGUGCUGACCGGCCCUCUUUCUUUCUCUGUCUGCUGUUACUAGGUCACCUCACACACAGACACGCACGCUCACACGUGCGCACAAACCUCGCCUCGCGGUCAGUGUUGCCACCAGGGAGAGGGGUAAUUUAAGCCCUCCUUGAUGUAGCCUAUUCAUCACUGUCCUGCAGGCUACGCUUCAAAAUUAAAGUCUGAUCUACAAAGUUGGAGUGAUAUGAGAUAAAAAAAAAUUAUAAAAUUGGCAGAGGUCACAAGGUGCAACACGCUCGCAGCGCGAUGCCGUGGCUCAGCUGCCCUGCAUGAGGUCCUUAAGUUAUUUGAUCUCUAUACUGCGUGGAUUGUGUUCUUUUUGUUUUUGAGUGGAAAUUGUCAAAAUUACCAAAUGACGAGGAAGCCUGGUGGGUCAAUGCUGAAAAAAACUUGAAUGGCCAGUAGUCCUCACCAAGGCCUCAUUGGGAUGGCCUACAUUAGGAGAUUCGUGUGUAUUCAAUUUACAAUAAAGCCCACAUUUAACACAUGAAGAUUCUAUAAUAUACCAAAAAGUGAAAUUGCUCACAAAACGUUAUUGGUUCAAGACCCAAAAUGAAUACCAUCAUUGAGAAAAGACAUACGAUGUGCCAAAAAGGAAAAUUUCAAUACAAAGGCAGGUUUAAAGUCAAAUAUUACUGUUAUCUCUUGGGUUUUAUUGGACAUGGCUCCUCACUGUUUGGGUUUCAAGAUGCCCCAUAUUCAUGGAAAAAUAACUUUCUUUCUCCUCAAGUCAUGUUUUUUUCAUUCAGAUAUUCAAUGAUCUUCUUUCAGAUUAUUCAGGCAGAAAUGUUUUUAACUUGUAGUUACUUACUUACUCCUUUUUGCAGGUUACAUAGUUGGUCACAAAGUACCAAAGGACGAGGAAAUAUUAUUACACAAAAAAAAAGAAACCUGGUAUGUUUUGCAUGAUAAGCAUAUUGAUAGAGACAUCGUGGUAAUAAUACCAAUACCCAUUGAAAUAAGUCACCUUCCUAUUAAAAGAAGCAUAGCGCUGGACAUCCCUGAGACCCAAACACAAGGAAUAACUUAAAUGAAAUGUUAUUUUCACGGUGCUUUGUCAGAGAGAGAGUGUUGGAGGAGGAGCGAGAAACACAUCGGCCCUCUGGCUUCCUGCAACCAUCGAUCCAACGAGCCCGAAGGCCCGUCUGCUGCUGGAAAAGGGAAAAAAAGGUCUCUAACUAAAGCCUUUUUUAAAUACAUCACACAAACAUAGUGAGACAGGGAGAUGAGGAUAACAAACUGUUUUAGGUGAGCACAUAGAAUGUUGAGUAAUUUCACCAGCUCCGAUAUUUUUAGAAGGGGCAGGUAUUUCUUUGGAAAAUGUUUGCGUCUCAUGUCUGAUGAGUUUACACUGUUUAUCAGCGUACAGUUUGACGGCUCGCCGCUGGGUGAGUCACUGCUUCCUCCUCCCCGUGUGUGUGUGUGUGUGUGUGUGUGUGUGUGCGUGUGUUUGUGUGCGGAAACCACGCUGACAGCUGCAGCUCAUUACAGGCACUAUUACUGAUGGGGACUGGGGGAAAUUCCUUCUUCCACAGAGCAAACCACCCUGUUUACCACACACACACACACACACAGGUCUCGCUUAUUCAUAAACCAGAGAUGCGACAUUUAUAACUGAAGCAAGAACAAAACAAAUCAAAUUGAUACAUUUAGCAAACAUUUACUCCUUAGUGAAAAAUGACGAAUAAAGAAGCCAUCUUCUGUAAAAGGAGGAGGCGCAGAGUUGAUCUACGCAGUUGCAGGAGAAGGGACCACAUCCUCCACCUGUGCAUCAAGUGUACUCUUCUACAUGUAGUAGACGUAAGUUGUGUGGGUGUGGGUUCCUAUAAACACACACACAGCCACAGGGUGAGCAAACUUAAGAGGAGAUGAGAUCACCGGAGCACUCUAAGCCCUUCUAAAUUGGCAAACAGCAGCGUCACACACACACACACACUCAGCCACAGAGUAUACAGUGUCCAGUGACGUUAAUGAGAGGCCUGAAAGCCAGACACACAUGUGCUAGAGUCAUUAGGGAGGACUUCAUAGCUACACUUCAGGCCACUACGCUCCAUUACUGUACUUCACUGGUUACACUGCUUGAAAAUAGUGGUUUUUCAAAGUCAGGUCCAGGGACCACCAGGGCUCCUCGGAGAGCCGCGGGGAGUUCCUUGCAAAAUUAAAAAAGGUUCGACCAGUUACCUGUUUUUCUUUAUCCCAUUUAUUUGAAGCACCAUGUUGUUAGGAUAUAAAAAAGCUCCUCUUGCACAAAUCUAUUGAGAAACAUUUAUAGUUCUGACGAAGAACUGUUUUUAAUGGAUUAGGAGAUUUUUCCUUUUAUGAUUUGUGGCGGCGCGAUAGUAUUUGUAAAGGCAGAUGUACUAGUAGAAUAAAUAUUAGUUACACUUGUUUAAGGUGAUCGCUUCUAUCUGGCUUUUGAAUCAGAGCAUUUGUUAAUGAUCUAAAACCAAGAACGAAUGGAACACAAAGGGAAAAGGCUAAAAAACAGAUGUUUCAUUUCAACCAUUGUGCACUAUACACAAAAAGGACAGUAUUCUUUGGAGAGGAAUGUAGCCCAUUAUUCAUGAACACCAAUAGUCCAAAAAAUGUGCCACUGGGCUGACAGCCCAUUUGUUCCACAGUAUGUUGUUCUGAAAACAAAUACCCAUUGCAGAUUAUGCUGAAUGAUGUCAUUGGACUUUUGUGAUAUUUUUUUCUUUGGAUGGGUUCAUUGGGUAGAAGCAGGAGGACUGACACCAGUAAAGUUAAAGAUAAGAAAAGAGGCCCACUGACUUACAUUGAGACCUCAAAAUGUGAUUCAAGUAAAAGCAUGUAAUUACGAAUCUUUGAAUCACAAAGAAGCAAAAAAAUAUGAAUGUCUGUGUCUGUGAAAAGAUCUGGAUCUGUUAGUGUUAGUUAGUUUUCUCCAAUCUUUAUGGUACAGAAGAAUAACACACAUCAAGCUUUGGCCAGUCAACACCUAUCAAGAAGUUCAGAUGAAUGUUAUUUUUAGGUUUAAAAAGAAAGAAGAAAAUUCCCACCGAUCAACAUCCGAGACUCCAAAUGAAAACAUUCCAACAUAAAUAAAUUGCUGAGUUUUAGUUCAGCGUUAGAGUUUAUGAUUAGAAAGAAUCCUAUUUUUUCCUGGAUUGUUAUUAACGUCUAAAUUAGAAGGCAGGGAGUAUUUGGAGAAGCUCUACCAGAAUCUCUUGUUGAACAUUAUUGACAAAAGCAGCUUCUUCCAAUUGUAGGCAACCAAUACAGAAAAGCAUCAGCAGACCAGUGGCUCCCAAACUUUGGCCCCCUUUGAGGAUAUGUUUUGAAAGUAAAUCUGUGUCAUCGGGUAUUGAAAGAAAAAGGUGAUUGAAUUUCUAGCACUGAAUAUUUAUGCAAUGAAAUUAUGUAUCUGGACGUUUUUCAUCGUUAAAAUACUGCAAAAAAUUAAAGGGCAAAAAAAUCACUGUUAAAAUAUUCAGCCGCAAAAACACCAACAUCCGGGACACUAAGGUAGAGCAAUCGAUUCUAGAUUCAAGAUCAGGAGCGUGCGUGGUUUUUUCAAUGCGAGAAAUUCAAUCACCUUUUUCUUUCCAUACCCGAUGACACAGAUUUACUUCCAUAAUAUGUAAUAUGACUUUGUAGUAGCCUCUCAGCUACCAACAUGUUCCAACCAUCAGUCCCAAAGUGGUCCGUUUGCUACUCAUCCCCCUUCUGUAUGACACUUGGAGGAAUUUCUCUGCACAGAUUGUAUUGUUGUUGGUUUUACUUCCAAUGCAAAAAAGCUCAGGGAUCAACCCAAAGUAAACCAGGUUACUUUAUACAAAAUAUCUUAUCGCGUUAAUCUCAGGCCUCAAUAAUCACAUCGAUUAACACGUUAACUUUGACACCCCUUGUUUUUUUAUAAAAUGAUUACAAACCACUCAGCAGUGUUAUUGCAUUUUGUAAAACAGUAAAUUUACUUCAAUUAUUGAAGUUGGGAAGAGUGCAAAAAGCGUGUCUUUUUUGCUGUCUUUCUAAUGCUUGAACCUCUCGCUACCGCCCCCCCCCCCCCCCCCCCCCUGUCCCUGGGCGGUUGAACGGUUUGGCCAACUACUACCCUUUCUGCCCAAAUAAUACACUCUACUACCCCCCUUGGCAGGACCAUUUUCCUGACUACUACGCCCCCCCUGAAGUUGUAAACCUAGGGGAAACACUGCUAUCUGUUUUUUUUUUUCUUUACCCCCUUGUUGGGCCGCCGCGGUCUCUGGUGCUCCAAUAAAUGACAUCUCCACCCAACAAAACUGCAUUGUCUAGAAUCUUUUCUUCUUUAAACUGACAUUUUGUUUAAUGUUAUGUGGUAUAUAUCCAAAGACCUGGAAUGACAUUAACAACAUAUUCUUUAAUACAUACUUUAUUCUUAAAAAAAUACUGGAGUGUUUUCACUGUAUUAUUCAGUAAUACCAUAUGUAAUAGAAUAACAUUUCACAUUAUUGAAAUAUAAUAAAAAUAAUAAAAUAAAUAACAAAUUCAUUUGAUGAAACCAUUGCCAUUGUCAUUCCUUGGCUUACCAAGGCUGAUAGCUUGGCAUUUAAUGGGUGUAUCAUCAGCUUAAAGACGAAAAUUGUUAUUUGCAGCCAACCAAAAGACUUAGGUUGAGAAAAUCACCCAAAACAUUCAGUGUCCAGAGAUUUAUUGUAAGCAUAUUCGAGCAUAACCUAAUAAUGCUGUUAUCCAUCUCCCUUCUGUCAUGACCGGAGAGAGGGAGAGAGAAAGAGAGAUGGUCUACUCCACGUUGUGAUGAAUCUGUUGCAUUAAUCAACCUCUUAAAUUGGAACAGGCUGCCUUUUAUUAAUUAUGUUCAACGCGAGGUUGGUAGAGCCUCACCCAACCACCCCUCCCUCUUCGUUUAGACACAAAUCACUUCCAGAAAAAUAAGGAUGGGAGAGAGAGAGAGAGAGAGAACUAGAGAGCUUCAUUACAAUUAAACGGGGAGGCAGUGAAAGAAUGACGACAGGUAUUUAGAUAGUAAAAUUAGAAGUGACACAAGGGUGUUUGAAGGGUGAUGGAGCCCUUUUGGCAUUUCUAGCUUUGAACAGUUUAACCAUCUUUGGUUGGAGAAAAAGUAGUUCUCGUAACGCUUGCAGAUGCUACACAAGUAGUGUGACAUCACUGCAUUUCAGAUAAAAACACUUUAUUUCAUUUUAAGUUCACUUGUGUUCCUUAAUCAUUUAUUUCAACGUUUUUGGAUCUGGUCCGCAUGAAUCAAAUU